AUUGAACGCUGGCGGCAGGCCUAACACAUGCAAGUCGAGCGGAUGAAGGGAGCUUGCUCCUGGAUUCAGCGGCGGACGGGUGAGUAAUGCCUAGGAAUCUGCCUGGUAGUGGGGGAUAACGUCCGGAAACGGGCGCUAAUACCGCAUAAGACCUGAGGGAGAAAGAGGGGGAUCUUCGGACCUCACGCUAUCAGAUGAGCCUAGGUCGGAUUAGCUAGUUGGUGGGGUAAAGACCUACCAAGGCGACGAUCCGUAACUGGUCUGAGAGGCUGAUCAGUCACACUGGAGCGGAGACACGGUCCAGAGUCCUACGGGAGGCAGCAGUGGCGAAUAUUGGACAAUAGGCGGAAGCCUGGUCCAGUCAUGCCGCGUGUGUGAAGAAGGUCUUCGGAUUGUAAAGCACUUUAAGUUGGGAGGAAGGGCAUUAAGUUAAUACCUUGCUGUUUUGGCGUUACCAACAGAAUAAGCACCGGCUAACUUCGUG
rnacentral:rRNA from 1 species